GAUGAACGCUGGCGGCGUGCCUAAUACAUGCAAGUCGAGCGAACAGACGAGGAGCUUGCUCCUCUGACGUUAGCGGCGGACGGGUGAGUAACACGUGGAUAACCUACCUAUAAGACUGGGAUAACUUCGGGAAACCGGAGCUAAUACCGGAUAAUAUAUUGAACCGCAUGGUUCAAUAGUGAAAGACGGCUUUGCUGUCACUUAUAGCUGGAUCCGCGCCGCAUUAGCUAGUUGGUAAGGUAACGGCUUACCAAGGCAACGAUGCGUAGCCGACCUGAGAGGGUGAUCGGCCACACUGGAACUGAGACACGGUCCAGACUCCUACGGGAGGCAGCAGUAGGGAAUCUUCCGCAAUGGGCGAAAGCCUGACGGAGCAACGCCGCGUGAGUGAUGAAGGUCUUCGGAUCGUAAAACUCUGUUAUUAGGGAAGAACAAAUGUGUAAGUAACUAUGCACGUCUUGACGGUACCUAAUCAGAAAGCCACGGCUAACUACGUG
rnacentral:rRNA from 1 species